GGGGUGGGGCCUUCAUAGGCUCCCCACAGGCCCCACACGCCCUGCGCACUACGGUUUCUCGCAACCCACCAAACGGGUUGGGGGCUUCCUUGUGGGCGUGUCUUUCGGGGCCGGAGCUGCGCCUACUUGCGCGGUGGUUGCGGCUUUACCUAGCCUUUGAGUUCGAGCUGUGGACGGACCGAGUCGCUGAAGUUUGUGGGACCCGGUGGCUGUCAGGUCCUUUGCCCCUCAGGGAUUCCGCUAGGCAUCUGGGCUGGAUUUUCACUGGUCUCAGCUGGGUCUGCGCCCACCCUGCUGCCUUCCGGAAAUCUGUUGUGCUUUCAUGACAUCUGUUCCCUUUGUCCACAUGACUCUUCAUUCCCAGGUGUUUGCAGUUACCUAUCACGUUUAUCCAGCACCUGUGCGCUGUCCCUCCUGAUGUGACCACCUGGAAAUGCCUUUUCCCAAUCAGCCUGAGGGACACGAUGCACCUUUCAAAACCGCUCUUCCACAGCUUCGCAGCAUAUUAUUCCAGUUCAACAGGUGAACACCAAGGCCCAGCUGUGUCAUGCCAGCUCCCUGGCCUCCGGGGCUGCCCCGUUCUCACCAGCAUUCCAGAAUUUGCCUCCUGUCUACCACCAGUGACCACACCGCCUCAAAGACCCAUGUCCUGAACAGCGAGCUCCGCUUUCCCUUUCACCAGGUCAGAGUCUUUCAUUGCCUGCUCUCCCUCACCUACCCCUGGCAUCUUGAUGUGGGACAGGCCAGAGUGACAGCAUUUCCUGCAUCUGCGUCUCAGCUGGAAAAUGGAAAUUUCUGCCUGAGGCUGUUACACCAAGUAAGAGUCACUGCAGCUUUUGCCGAACAGAGACUGCCAUCCAUUCUCUGUGCCAGUGUGGUUCACCCAGCCAGAGGUCAGAGGGGCCCACAAGAGCCUCCGCCCCCAAUUUAAGUCUCUUCGGUGCUGGGCAGAGUGGCUGCAGAAACGGUUGCAGACG